GAUGAACGCUGGCGGCGUGCCUAAUACAUGCAAGUCGAGCGAACAGACGAGGAGCUUGCUCCUCUGACGUUAGCGGCGGACGGGUGAGUAACACGUGGAUAACCUACCUAUAAGACUGGGAUAACUUCGGGAAACCGGAGCUAAUACUGGAUAAUAUAUUGAACCGCAUGGUUCAAUAGUGAAAGACGGCUUUGCUGUCACUUAUAGAUGGAUCCGCGCCGCAUUAGCUAGUUGGUAAGGUAACGGCUUACCAAGGCGACGAUGCGUAGCCGACCUGAGAGGGUGAUCGGCCACACUGGAACUGAGACACGGUCCAGACUCCUACGGGAGGCAGCAGUAGGGAAUCUUCCACAAUGGGCGAAAGCCUGACGGAGCAACGCCGCGUGAGUGAUGAAGGUCUUCGGAUCGUAAAACUCUGUUAUUAGGGAAGAACAAAUGUGUAAGUAACUAUGCACGUCUUGACGGUACCUAAUCAGAAAGCCACGGCUAACUACGUG
rnacentral:rRNA from 1 species